rnacentral:misc_RNA from 1 species
GAAUCAUCUGAAAUUGCAUCUUCCUUUUCAAAAUAUUUGGCCGGUUUGGUUCUGUGAACCCUCCUUAGAGGCCGAUGAGAACUCUCCUCCAGUGAAUCAUCUGAAACUGCAUCUUCCCUCCUAAACUUGGCUUGUGUACUCCUAGGAACCCUUCCAUGCCAGUCAUGAAUAUCACCUUCCAGUGAAUCAUCUGAAAAUUCACUUUUACUCUCAACAUAUUUGGCUUGAUUACUUCUUGUCCUAGGAAUUCUGCUAUGUUGCUUUCGAGAACUGUUGUCCACUAAAGCAUAAGAAACAUCAUUUUCACUCUCAAUAGAUUUGGCCUGUUUGCUUCUAAGAGUUCUUCUAUGCUGCUGAGUGUUACAUCUCAAGGAAUCAUCUGAAUUUGCAUCUUCUCUCUCAACAGAUUUAGCCUGCUUGCUUCUGUGAGUUCUUCCAUAUUGCUGAUGAGAAUAAUCCUCCAAGGAAUCAUAUGAAACUUCUCUCUCAAUUCGUUUAAUUUGCAUCCUACUGUAAACUCUUGUAUGCUGCUUACAAGAAACAUCCUCUUGAGAAUCCUCUGAAGCUGCGUCUUCUGUAUUGAAGCAUUUGACUUCCUUACCUGGUCCACUUGCUACAGACAUUUUCCUCUUCCUCCCAGAUUUUCUGGUGGCUAAGGUGGUUUCAGUCCUAUAGAUAAUUUCUGGUUUUAUCUCAAGCUUCUCAUCUGGCCUUGUCCAACCACGGAAGCUUCUUUCUUGUUCUUGAUCUUGAUCCUCAGAAUCCCGUUUUGUUAGGAAGGGAUGGACUUGAUUUGACAUCCAAACUUUCCCGCACCAUCUCCCAGCCACCACUUUUUUCUGCUUGCUAGGCUUCCUUCCAUAAACAUUAAAUUUUGUGGGGGAGCUAGCUGGGGAACUCCGACCAAAAGCAUUGUAUAUAACAGAAUUGUAUGGCAUCUGCUUACUGUAAAGAGAAGAUCGGCUAAGAUUGGCACUGUAAAAAAGAUUGAUGCCCAACUUUACAGCCCAGUCCCCAUUCCCUGGUAUGGCUUCCUCACUAUCCAAAGCUGACUGGAUAUUCUCCUCAUCCUCUUUGGUGGCAUCCCUGAAAUUAAUAUCAUUCCAGAGACACUCAAUUCCCAGUUCUUCUGACACUGACCUUGCCACGGCUUCUAUCCUGGGAUACUCUGGAUGACAGAGAAGCAAUAUAUGCACUCCCCCAAUUGGACGAAAUUGCUGUUCCAUUUCUACAGCAUGCUCAAGACAGAAGACAUGCAUGCAAGAAGAAUCUUCAUCAGAUCUUUGGGCAAAUGAUGUGUCCAUAUUCUCCCUUGGUACAACAACUCUAUUAAACUUUGCUUUCCCAGUAUCAUGGACAACUGGGGAACAACUUGAAGCUAUGCGUGACGUUGACAUUGGACCUCUAAAUGUAUGCUCCAAACCAUUUGAUUCCAUAGAAGCAAGAUUAUCAGUUUCAAACUCAACAGAACAGUUAAGAGCUCGAUCACUUUCAUCCUUGAAAUUGGCUGGUCUAUUCCCAUGUCCAUGUUCUGCAUGGCAAUCAAUACUUUGAAGAGUGACUUCAUCUCCACAAUCAGGCCUUGCUGAAGAUAGAGUACGACUGUCAGCUUCAUCCUGAUGGCACUCUUGCUUGAGAGAAGGCAAAGCAGAGAUUCGAUGCUGAUAUGUACUUUCGGAUGAACAGUUUAACAUGUUAAUUUCAUCAGCAUGGUGCAAAACAUCUGGCUCAACCUGGUCUUCCUCAGAGUCUGAUGAAUUUCCAUAAUUCAAAGCUAGUAAGCUAAGAGAAGAAGUGCCUUUCUGUGUUUCAGUAUUUGAAGCAACUUUAUUUUGAUCUGUCAUCUGAAUUUGGUGAUUAGCAGACUGAAUAGGGACAUCAUAUAAACCAUCCACAGUAUUCUUCUUCAUCCACUUAGUGGAGGAAUUCUGCUCAGAAGUAUGGGUGUCUCCAUGGGCAAUGGUGAACCCAUCAUUAGUUACUCCAGAACCAACAAUCCAAUCAUUAAAGAAGCUACAAUCAGCAGACAUGAGGUAUCUAGCAGCUGCUUCUCUUGGUUGAAUGAUGGCAAUGCAAUCAAAGCUCAAAAUUCCACAAGUAACACAUGAAAACAGUCUCUGAUCAGACAACUUAUCGCCAUGAACAGUACCCCCGUUUUCAGUUCCUGUGUCCAUAUUAUGCAUACUGUCAUUUCCAUUCAAUGAGGAAAACCUAUUUCUUUCACACAAAGAAGCAAACUUUUCUUUCAUUGAAAAGAGGCCUUUUACUUGAUUGAUUCUGUUGUUCAUUUCUGGCAUGACUUCAUCAGGAACAGAAUCCUUUGAGGAUUUCAUGAUACCCUUGCUACUGCAUAAUCCAAGGGAGGAGCUCACCCUUAACUGAGAUCCAACACGUAAAUUUGAACAAACAGACAUGUCUGAAGAACUUCGAGGAAGAAGUACAAUUGAAGAUCCUUUUCCAAGAACAUGAAGCAGGCCAUUAUUGUGAAUUACAUUGUUUACAAAUAGUUCUUUAACCAACCUUUCUCCUUCACCCUUUUGCUUAUCCUUCAGUCUAGAACUACGCGGUUUAGCACUGAUGCUCACGGGCAUUCUUGUACAUAGUUCCAGGGCAAGAUCAUAAAGUAACUGGAAAUGAGACACCAUCGGAGGAUAAUUAAUUGAAGCUCUUCGAAUAGCAGCAUCUUUAGCAACCCUCAACCAUUCAGGAGUUGCUAUAUUAGCUGCCUCCCCACAAUUAAAUCCAUGACUGAAACCUGAAUGAUAGGCUCUUGGGAAAGUGACAACAAACUCCCCAGCAUUUUGCACUAACCUGCAGCAAGGUACACCAGCACUAAUAAAUACUUCAGGUGACAUAACUGUGGUCUUCUCACCAAGAAUUGCAAAUGUAACUGGUAGAAGGCAAAUCAAAGUUACAUUGAGUAUAUUCAGAUGUAUAUAUAAGCGUGAAGUCAACUAUCAUUCUCUUACUUUCCAAAAUUACAUAUCUUUUCAGAUGAACCAGAACAGCAUCACUCCAUAAAAACUCUAUUCAUGAUGUUUUAAGAAAAAGGGUAACCCAGGCCCCAGAAGAACAAUCAAACACCAAUAGCACAUAAAUAGUCUCAACAAGUAAUCAGCAACCACCCAAAAGUGCCUUUUGGUAAAAAAAGGUGAAUCCCAGGUCUUCACUGUGAUUUACUUGCAUUGUUCAAUAGCCCAUCUUAAUAAGUGAUACUGGUUACUCAAAACAUUAUCAAGUCUCACCAUUUUUGGAAUUAUAUCAUCAUCUCCUCCACCAUAUUAAUUGAGUAAUGCUACUAAAUGAUGCAUUUGACAAUGUCCUUCACAUAAAUAAAUUCUUUCGAAAUAACAUGAAUACACCUAGAAACAGGGGAGUCAAACUACAUGUUAGUUCUCUCGCUUAAUGUAGUACAAUAAAAACUCACCAAGAGGAUUCAUCUCUUCUCCAUACCCAUGAACCCGAACAACCUCCUCAAAAGCAACCGCAGCCUCUCUUGGCACACCGUACCAAGUCUUUCCUGCCCCCAUAUGCAAGUAAUUCAAGCUAUGCAAGUCAUGAUCCUCUACAUGCCAAGCGAACCAACUAAACAUCAUAGCUACGUACACCAUCGGUGAAGUAACCCCAGGUAUCUCCUCCUUCAUAAACCUCAACAAUGACCCUUUUGCCCUCGACACUCCUCUCAUAUUCCACUCCGUUUCCCCCACAGUUGCCCCCUCUGCCACCUCCUUCCCUCCAGUCUUCUUCGGUGAGAAAGCAGAGCCCGGCAUGUCGUUGGCAUACUCAACAGAGAAAGGCUUAUCGACAGUAGCUUUCCAGUAUAGGGUUUCGAUCUCUAGAGGAGAAAGAGCUCCCUUCUUCGAGCAUUUCUUGAGGUAGCUUCUCUCAAAGGAUUUAGCUUUAGUUUCGAAUUCUUGAAAAGUGUAGUUCUCUCCACUCUGCCACACGGGCUUUUGCACUGGGCGGGGCUUCCGCGGGCAGAACCCGAUCUGCUGCUGGCGGGUAGUGAAUGUAGGUGGGGAUUUCGAACUGGAGGAGUCAGCACGGGCGGCAAGGGAGCGGUUGAGAUUAGAAAUUGCAGCUUUCUUGGGAGCCGCAAGGACAGGGGGCACGAUUUUGCAGAUACCAUACUUGGCAGCUUCCUUCUCGAUUUUGAAAAUGUAGGCAAUUGGAUCUUGGAACUCAGCUGGAGUAGGAUGGUACUCUGGUGCCAGUGGUAGGUUUUUCAGCCAUUGAAAGACCUCUUGCUGUGAUGUUGGCUCAGAGACCAACCCACCAGAAGCUGCCAUGAAAAAACAGAGAGAAGAUGAAAAAUUGUUGAAAAGGGCGGUUUUGGAUUCGUGGGUUUGUUUCUCAUACAAAGUCCAUUGUGCACUG